AUAUUUUUUAAUAAAAAUAAUUUUAUUUAUUAUUUUUUUUAGUAUAUUUUAUAGAAAAAAUUUUAUUAAUUAUAGUUUAAUUGUAUUGUAAAAGAUAAUUGAAAUAAUUUAUUAAUUAUUUAAAAGUAGAAUUUAAUUUUUGUACCUUGUGUAUCAGGGUUUAUUAAAUAAAUAUUAAUUAAUUUAAUUUUCUCGAUUUUAAGAGAGCUAAUAAAUUAUUUUUUUUAUUGUAAAAAAAAUAUUUAUAAUAAUUUAUUGGUAAUGAAAUGUUAUUCGUUCUUAAUUAUAUCUAGUUUAUUUAGAAAUGAAUUUAAUUCAGAUGUUUUAAUUUUAAUAAUUUAAUUUGUUAAGUUAUUAUAUUUUAAUAUUAAUAAUUAAAGGGAUUAGCUUUUAAUUAAAAAUUUAUAAGUUAGAUAAUUUAUUUUAAAAAAUGUAAGUUUAGAAAUAGCUAUCAAUAAUAAUUUGUUAUAAUUAAUUUAAGGUUUUUUAUAUUAUUUUAUAUAAUUUUAAAUUUUUUAUAAAUAAGUAAUUUUUAAUUUUUAAAAAUUAGUUAUAAUGAUAGAAUUAGUAUAUAUUAUUAUUUAUUUAAAUAAAAUUAUUUGAAAGAUUAUUUAAAGGAAUUCGGCAAAAAUUUUACUCGCCUGUUUAACAAAAACAUGUCUUUUUGAAAUAUAUUUAAAGUCUAACCUGCCCACUGAAAUUUUUUAAAUGGCCGCAGUAUUUUGACUGUGCAAAGGUAGCAUAAUCAUUAGUUUUUUAAUUAAAAGCUUGUAUGAAAGGUUGGACGAAGUAAAAUCUGUCUCUAUUUAAUUUAAAAUAGAAUUUAAUUUUUAAGUUAAAAAGCUUAAAUAUUAGUAAAAGACGAGAAGACCCUAUAGAGCUUUAUAAUUUAUUUAAUUUAAUUAAUUAAGAUUUAUUUAAGUUUUAUUAUAUAAAUUAUUUUAUUGGGGUAAUAGAAAGAUUAAAAUAAUUCUUUUUUAUUAUUAACAUUAAUUUAUGAAAUUAAUGAUCCAUUUUUAAUGAUUAUAAGAUUAAGUUACCUUAGGGAUAACAGCGUAAUUUUUUUAGAGAGUUCAUAUCGAUAAAAAAGUUUGCGACCUCGAUGUUGGAUUAAAGAUUAGUUUAGGUGUAGAAGUUUAAAUUUUUGGUCUGUUCGACCAUUAAAUCUUUACAUGAUCUGAGUUCAGACCGGUGUAAGCCAGGUCGGUUUCUAUCUUUAUUAAGUUUAAAUAUUUUAGUACGAAAGGACCAAGUAUUUAAUAUAUUUAUAUUUAUAUU
rnacentral:rRNA from 1 species